rnacentral:rRNA from 1 species
GAUGAACGCUAGCGACAGGCUUAACACAUGCAAGUCGAGGGGCAGCACGAUGUAGCAAUACAUUGGUGGCGACCGGCGCACGGGUGAGUAACGCGUAUGCAACCUACCUAUCAGAGGGGAAUAACCCGGCGAAAGUCGGACUAAUACCGCAUAAAACAGGGGUUCCACAUGGAAAUAUUUGUUAAAGAAUUAUCGCUGAUAGAUGGGCAUGCGUUCCAUUAGAUAGUUGGUGAGGUAACGGCUCACCAAGUCCACGAUGGAUAGGGGUUCUGAGAGGAAGGUCCCCCACACUGGUACUGAGACACGGACCAGACUCCUACGGGAGGCAGCAGUGAGGAAUAUUGGUCAAUGGGCGAGAGCCUGAACCAGCCAAGUCGCGUGAAGGAUGAAGGAUCUAUGGUUUGUAAACUUCUUUUAUAUGGGAAUAAAGUGAGGAACGUGUUCCUUUUUGUAUGUACCAUAUGAAUAAGCAUCGGCUAACUCCGUGCCAGCAGCCGCGGUAAUACGGAGGAUGCGAGCGUUAUCCGGAUUUAUUGGGUUUAAAGGGUGCGUAGGUGGUUAAUUAAGUCAGCGGUGAAAGUUUGUGGCUCAACCAUAAAAUUGCCGUUGAAACUGGUUGACUUGAGUAUAUUUGAGGUAGGCGGAAUGCGUGGUGUAGCGGUGAAAUGCAUAGAUAUCACGCAGAACUCCGAUUGCGA